UUCAUGAUGGUUGUUUGGGCCUA
rnacentral:siRNA from 1 species